UUACGGCGACAUCACGUUGAAACACCUGUACCCGUACGAUCACCGAAGUUAAGCAACGUCGAGCCUAGUCAGUAUCAAGAUGGGUGACCACUUGAGAAUACUAGGUACU